AAAUUGAAGAGUUUGAUCAUGGCUCAGAUUGAACGCUGGCGGCAGGCCUAACACAUGCAAGUCGAACGGUAACAGGAAGCAGCUUGCUGCUUUGCUGACGAGUGGCGGACGGGUGAGUAAUGUCUGGGAAACUGCCUGAUGGAGGGGGAUAACUACUGGAAACGGUGGCUAAUACCGCAUAACGUCGCAAGACCAAAGAGGGGGACCUUCGGGCCUCUUGCCAUCAGAUGUGCCCAGAUGGGAUUAGCUUGUUGGUGAGGUAACGGCUCACCAAGGCGACGAUCCCUAGCUGGUCUGAGAGGAUGACCAGCCACACUGGAACUGAGACACGGUCCAGACUCCUACGGGAGGCAGCAGUGGGGAAUAUUGCACAAUGGGCGCAAGCCUGAUGCAGCCAUGCCGCGUGUAUGAAGAAGGCCUUCGGGUUGUAAAGUACUUUCAGCGGGGAGGAAGGUGUUGCGGUUAAUAACCGCAGCAAUUGACGUUACCCGCAGAAGAAGCACCGGCUAACUCCGUGCCAGCAGCCGCGGUAAUACGGAGGGUGCAAGCGUUAAUCGGAAUUACUGGGCGUAAAGCGCACGCAGGCGGUCUGUCAAGUCGGAUGUGAAAUCCCCGGGCUCAACCUGGGAACUGCAUUCGAAACUGGCAGGCUUGAGUCUUGUAGAGGGGGGUAGAAUUCCAGGUGUAGCGGUGAAAUGCGUAGAGAUCUGGAGGAAUACCGGUGGCGAAGGCGGCCCCCUGGACAAAGACUGACGCUCAGGUGCGAAAGCGUGGGGAGCAAACAGGAUUAGAUACCCUGGUAGUCCACGCCGUAAACGAUGUCUACUUGGAGGUUGUGCCCUUGAGGCGUGGCUUCCGGAGCUAACGCGUUAAGUAGACCGCCUGGGGAGUACGGCCGCAAGGUUAAAACUCAAAUGAAUUGACGGGGGCCCGCACAAGCGGUGGAGCAUGUGGUUUAAUUCGAUGCAACGCGAAGAACCUUACCUGGUCUUGACAUCCACAGAACUUUCCAGAGAUGGAUUGGUGCCUUCGGGAACUGUGAGACAGGUGCUGCAUGGCUGUCGUCAGCUCGUGUUGUGAAAUGUUGGGUUAAGUCCCGCAACGAGCGCAACCCUUAUCCUUUGUUGCCAGCGAUUAGGUCGGGAACUCAAAGGAGACUGCCAGUGAUAAACUGGAGGAAGGUGGGGAUGACGUCAAGUCAUCAUGGCCCUUACGACCAGGGCUACACACGUGCUACAAUGGCGCAUACAAAGAGAAGCGACCUCGCGAGAGCAAGCGGACCUCAUAAAGUGCGUCGUAGUCCGGAUUGGAGUCUGCAACUCGACUCCAUGAAGUCGGAAUCGCUAGUAAUCGUGGAUCAGAAUGCCACGGUGAAUACGUUCCCGGGCCUUGUACACACCGCCCGUCACACCAUGGGAGUGGGUUGCAAAAGAAGUAGGUAGCUUAACCUUCGGGAGGGCGCUUACCACUUUGUGAUUCAUGACUGGGGUGAAGUCGUAACAAGGUAACCGUAGGGGAACCUGCGGUUGGAUCACCUCCUUACCUGAAAGAA
rnacentral:rRNA from 1 species